GAUGAAGACGCAGUGAAAUGCGAUACGUAGUGUGAAUUGCAGAAUUCAGUGAAUCAUCGAAUCUUUGAACGCACAUUGCACCUCUCGGUAUUCCGGGAGGUAUGCCUGUUCGAGCGUCAUUUGUACCCUCAAGCUCUGCUUGGUGUUGGGUGUUUGUUCCGCCUCUGUGUGUGAACUCGCCUCAAAACAAUUGGCAGCCGGCGUACUUGUUUCGGAGCGCAGCACAUUUUGCGAUCCAGAUCAACGUACAGCGGCAUCCAAGAAGCCUUAUUUAACGCUCUUGACCUCGGAUCAGGUAGGGAUACCCGCUGAACUUAAGCAUAUCAAUAAGCGGAGGA
rnacentral:misc_RNA from 1 species